AUUGAACGCUGGCGGAAUGCUUUACACAUGCAAGUCGAACGGCAGCACGGACUUCGGUCUGGUGGCGAGUGGCGAACGGGUGAGUAAUGUAUCGGAACGUGCCCAGUCGUGGGGGAUAACGUAGUGAAAAUGAAGCUAAUACCGCAUACGAUCUAUGGAUGAAAGCGGGGGAUCGCAAGACCUCGCGCGAUUGGAGCGGCCGAUAUCAGAUUAGGUGGUUGGUGGGGUAAAGGCCUACCAAGCCAACGAUCUGUAGCUGGUCUGAGAGGACGACCAGCCACACUGGAACUGAGACACGGUCCAGACUCCUACGGGAGGCAGCAGUGGGGAAUUUUGGACAAUGGGCGAAAGCCUGAUCCAGCCAUUCCGCGUGCAGGAUGAAGGCCCUCGGGUUGUAAACUGCUUUUGUACAGAACGAAAAGGUUUCUACUAAUACUAGGAGCUCAUGACGGUACUGUAAGAAUAAGCACCGGCUAACUACGUGCCAGCCGCCGCAGUAA
rnacentral:rRNA from 1 species